AUUGAACGCUGGCGGCAUGCCUAACACAUGCAAGUCGAGCGGAAGAAGGGUGCUGGUUUCUGGAGCUAGAGGGGCGAGCGUGUGAAAUGCCUAGGAAUAUCCUUGCCUGUGGGGGAUGACGUCUGGAAAAGGGCGGUAAUAACACCUGAUACAUGCGGGAGAUGGAGGGGGAUGUUUGGAACUCUCGCUAUGAUAUGAGUCUAGGUGGGACUAGCUAGUUGGUGGGGUAAAGGCUUACCAAGCCGACGAUCCGUAGGUGGUCUGAGAGGAUGAUCAGUCACACUGGAACUGAGACACGGUCCAGACUCCUACGGGAGGCAGCAGUGGGGAAUAUUGGACAAUGGGCGAAAGCCUGAUCCAGCCAUGCCGCGUGUGUGAAGAAGGUCUUCGGAUUGUAAAGCACUUUAAGUUGGGAGGAAGGGCAUUAAGUUAAUACCUUGCUGUUUUGACGUUACCGACAGAAUAAGCACCGGCUAACUUCGUG
rnacentral:rRNA from 1 species